GACGAACGCUGGCGGCGUGCUUAACACAUGCAAGUCGAACGGAAAGGCCCUGCUUUUGUGGGGUGCUCGAGUGGCGAACGGGUGAGUAACACGUGAGUAACCUGCCCUUGACUUUGGGAUAACUUCAGGAAACUGGGGCUAAUACCGGAUAGGAGCUCCUGCUGCAUGGUGGGGGUUGGAAAGUUUCGGCGGUUGGGGAUGGACUCGCGGCUUAUCAGCUUGUUGGUGGGGUAGUGGCUUACCAAGGCUUUGACGGGUAGCCGGCCUGAGAGGGUGACCGGCCACAUUGGGACUGAGAUACGGCCCAGACGCCUACGGGAGGCAGCAGUGGGAAAUAUUGCACAAUGGGCGGAAGCCUGAUGCAGCAACGCCGCGUGCGGGAUGACGGCCUUCGGGUUGUAAACCGCUUUCGCCUGUAACGAAGCGUGAGUGACGGUAAUGGGUAAAGAAGCACCGGCUAACUACGUG
rnacentral:rRNA from 1 species